rnacentral:rRNA from 1 species
AUGCCGCGUGUGUGAAGAAGGCUUUCGGGUUGUAAAGCACUUUCAGUGGGGAAGAAAUCCUCGGGGCCAAUACCCUCGAGGGAGGACAUCACCCACAGAAGAAGCACCGGCUAACUCCGUGCCAGCAGCCGCGGUAAUACGGAGGGUGCGAGCGUUAAUCGGAAUUACUGGGCGUAAAGCGCGCGUAGGCGGCGUGAUAAGCCGGUUGUGAAAGCCCCGGGCUCAACCUGGGAACGGCAUCCGGAACUGUCAGGCUAGAGUGCAGGAGAGGAAGGUAGAAUUCCCGGUGUAGCGGUGAAAUGCGUAGAGAUCGGGAGGAAUACCAGUGGCGAAGGCGGCCUUCUGGACUGACACUGACGCUGAGGUGCGAAAGCGUGGGUAGCAAACAGGAUUAGAUACCCUGGUAGUCCACGCCGUAAACGAUGUCGACUAGCCGUUGGGUUCCUAGUGAACUUUGUGGCGCAGUUAACGCGAUAAGUCGACCGCCUGGGGAGUACGGCCGCAAGGUUAAAACUCAAAG